AGCGACGUUAGCGGCGGGCUUAACACAUGCAAGUCGAACGAGAAUGAGGGAGCAAUCCCUCUAGUAAAGUGGCGGACGGGUGCGUAACACGUGGACAAUUUACCUUCCGGCGGGGGACAACAGUUCGAAAGGACUGCUAAUACCGCGUACGUCGGCGAGAACUCCGGUUUUUGCCGAGAAAGAUGGCCUCUCCUUGGAAGCUGUCACCGGAAGAUGAGUCCGCGGCCCAUCAGCUAGUUGGCGAGGUAACGGCUCACCAAGGCUAAGACGGGUAGCUGGUCUGAGAGGAUGAUCCGCCACACUGGUACUGAGACACGGACCAGACUCCUACGGGAGGCAGCAGUGAGGAAUAUUGGACAAUGGGCGCAAGCCUGAUCCAGCCAUGCCGCGUGCAGGAUGACGGUCCUAUGGAUUGUAAACUGCUUUUGCACAGGAAGAAACAACGCUACGUGUAGCGUCUUGACGGUACUGUGAGAAUAAGGAUCGGCUAACUCCGUG
rnacentral:rRNA from 1 species